CUUCCGCACUAGAAGGCUUUUCAAAUAUCUCUAGCAGCUUUUCCUGUAUAAUUAAAGCCAAACAUUGGCUGUUUCACAGGCUGCUCGCAUUGUGAGCUUCAGUCAUUGAACGAUGCAUUUAGACUUCUUUGGUCUUAUCGACUAACUUAAACACAGAUGCAGCUGGAUAGAAACAUAUAUGUCAUAAUCUAAGGUACACAUCUUGAAGCAACACCGUAUGGGUUGGGCCUGCAGUCCAGCAACAGUGCCGGCAUGUGCACUUUCACGAUCUUCUAGGAAAAAGGUGUCGCUCAAAAUGACAUGCAACUCGCAGAUCUGAUUGUAAUACACAACAUGUAUCGGUCAUAAUUAGGUGCAUGUUGUGCA
rnacentral:lncRNA from 1 species